rnacentral:rRNA from 1 species
UCAUGUUAUCGAUAUGUGAAUACAUAGCAUAUCAGAAGGCACACCCGGAGAACUGAAACAUCUUAGUACCCGGAGGAAGAAAAAGAAAAUUCGAUUCCCUUAGUAGCGGCGAGCGAAACGGGAAGAGCCCAAACCAACAAGCUUGCUUGUUGGGGUUGUAGGACACUCUAUACGGAGUUACAAAGGACGACAUUAGACGAAUCAUCUGGAAAGAUGAAUCAAAGAAGGUAAUAAUCCUGUAGUCGAAAAUGUUGUCUCUCUUGAGUGGAUCCUGAGUACGACGGAACACGUGAAAUUCCGUCGGAAUCUGGGAGGACCAUCUCCUAAGGCUAAAUACUCUCUAGUGACCGAUAGUGAACCAGUACCGUGAGGGAAAGGUGAAAAGCACCCCGGAAGGGGAGUGAAAUAGAACCUGAAACCGUGUGCUUACAAGUAGUCAGAGCCCGUUAAUGGGUGAUGGCGUGCCUUUUGUAGAAUGAACCGGCGAGUUACGAUUUGAUGCAAGGUUAAGCAGUAAAUGUGGAGCCGUAGCGAAAGCGAGUCUGAAUAGGGCGUUUAGUAUUUGGUCGUAGACCCGAAACCAGGUGAUCUACCCUUGGUCAGGUUGAAGUUCAGGUAACACUGAAUGGAGGACCGAACCGACUUACGUUGAAAAGUGAGCGGAUGA